AUUGAACGCAGGCGGAAUGCUUUACACAUGCAAGUCGAACGGCAGCACGGACUUCGGUCUGGUGGCGAGUGGCGAACGGGUGAGUAAUGUAUCGGAACGUGCCCAGUCGUGGGGGAUAACGUAGUGAAAAUUACGCUAAUACCGCAUACGAUCUAUGGAUGAAAGUGGGGGAUCGCAAGACCUCGCGCGAUUGGAGCGGCCGAUAUCAGAUUAGGUAGUUGGUGGGGUAAAGGCCCACCAAGCCAACGAUCUGUAGCUGGUCUGAGAGGACGACCAGCCACACUGGAACUGAGACACGGUCCAGACUCCUACGGGAGGCAGCAGUGGGGAAUUUUGGACAAUGGGCGAAAGCCUGAUCCAGCCAUUCCGCGUGCAGGAUGAAGGCCCUCGGGUUGUAAACUGCUUUUGUACAGAACGAAAAGGUUUCUACUAAUACUAGGAGCUCAUGACGGUACUGUAAGAAUAAGCACCGGCUAACUACGUGCCAGCAGCCGCAGUAA
rnacentral:rRNA from 1 species